AGGGGCGGAGUUGGGGCGUGGGCGGGGCUGGGGGCGGGGCCUGGGGGCCGGUGGAGUGUCCUCCUUUUGGAGGCUCAAAAUAUGGUAACCCUACCAGUGUGCAGCCUGAUUACCUCAGAAGUGCCGUAACUUCAGGGCAAAUUCAGACUGCAUUGCCUGAGCAAGAUGACGUGUAGGUGAACAGCCAGCCAGAAAACGUGGUCGUGUCAAGCCUAUCUUGAGUGAAGCAGAUUGGGCAGGCUCCAGCGUGCUCCAAAUGUCAGUAGGAAAGAGGAAUUCUUGCGGAGUUUGCAGCUUAGUAGAUCUUACAUUGUGGGCUUUGCCAAACACGUGUUUCCUCCCUGAAAUGACCUCUGAGGGAAGACUGAAGAAAAUUGGGUUUGUUUCGUCCGGAAAAGAGAAGAAUGAAAGGGGACAUAACAGUCUUCAAGUACAUAAACGGUUGUUACAUGGAGGGAGAAUUGUUGUUCUUAACCUCUGAGGAUAGGACAAGAAGCAAUGGGCUUAAAUUGCAGCAGGGGAGGCUUAGGUUGGACAUUAGGAAAAACUUCUUGUCAGGGUAGUUAAGGACUGGAACAAAUUGCUUAGGGAGGGUGUGGAAUAUCAGUCAUUGGAGAUUUUUAAGAAUAAGUUAGACAGACACCUGCCAGGAAUGGUCUUGUUAUUACUUAAUCCUGCCUUGAGUGCAGGGGACUGGACUAACUGACCUAUUGAGGUCCCUUCCAGUCCUGCACGUCUGUGAUUCUGUACUUGUUCUAAAUAUGCUUUUGGAAGGAAAGUGCACUAGUGAGCAACAAGUUAGCACGUAGGUGAUUGUUAACUCUUCAUACAAAAAUUAUCCCACUUUUGGACGAUCAGAUCGUAUAGCUAUCCGAGCCCUUACAGUGCAUGUGGAAAGUUGCAAUAUAUGUUACUCUUAUGCCCUGAAAUCUGGAAGACAAAAGUGAAAGAUAUUAAAGUGUUCUGCAAAACAUAGAUGUACAGGCAUUUUUUGUGUGGAUUAGAUUGAAAGAAGAAACCUCACGUAUUAGUAUUUUUCUUAAAUCAUUGACUAUUAUUUCUGUGUUCUAGAAAUAAAAAAUCCAUGAACAACCUCUCCCGUUUGGUU
rnacentral:lncRNA from 1 species